rnacentral:misc_RNA from 1 species
GGUAUAUUUGAAUAUUAAAGUAUAAAAUAAAAGAUUUGAAUUUGAUUUUAUUAUAAAUUGUUAAUAAAUGUAGAUUUUAAAUGAUAUCAUUUUAUUUAUUGAGAAUUUAUUCUAAAUAAUAUUAUUUUAAAAAGCAUUUUUAAUUGCACAAAAAUAAGUCUAAGCAUAACUUGGUAGUUAAAGGACUUACUUAGUAGACUUAGAUUCAAGGUUUCAUUUCUUCAAUUCCCAUAUUAAAAAAAAUCCACACUUAAACAAGAUUUUUUCAUAUUUAUAAGUUUAACAUAAAUUUGUGGCUCUAAUCAAUUUAUGAAAAUUUAUAAUUUUAUUAAGUUUAAAUUUUAAAUUGUUCAUCUUAA